AAUAUUGGGACAUAUAAAAAAAAAAGACAACUCUGUUCUGCAGAGUAGCUGUUGACAUUAUAGUUGGGCAGGAACUUUGUUGACUCUAGAGAACCUCGGGCAAAUUGCAAAUCCCCAUGGCGGCGACUUUGCAUGCAGAUGUCAUCCAUAUCAACUUUCAAUGCCAGUUUCUGCGCCUACCAUGGUGACCAUGGGUAACAGGGAAUCAGGGUUCCAUUCCGUACAGGGACCUUGAGAAACGGCUACCACAUGCAAGGAAGGCAGCAGGCGCGCAAAUGACCCAUUCCCGACGCGGGAAGGUAGUGA